rnacentral:rRNA from 1 species
UACAUGGGGUGCAAACGUUGCUCGGAAUUAUUGGGCGUAAAGCGCACGUAGGCGGUUUGUUAAGUCGGAUGUGAAAUCCCUUGGCUCAACUGAGGAAGUGCAUCCGAAACUGACAAGCUGGAGUACGUAAGAGGGUCGCGGAAUUCCCGGUGUAGAGGUGAAAUUCGUAGAUAUCGGGAGGAACACCGGUGGCGAAGGCGGCGACCUGGGACGAUACUGACGCUGAGGUGCGAAAGCGUGGGGAG